rnacentral:lncRNA from 1 species
GUUGCUUCAUAAAUGGUGAAAUCUCUCAAAAUUAAAUGAGAGAAUUUCAAGUUUCCGGAGCAUAUAUUUAGUAUUAUUACUAUUAUAUAUCACCAGUAUUAAACAGCUCCAUGUGUGUAUACAAUUGCAUCGGCGUUACCUGUCUCCUGGAACAUUGUUUUUCAAUUUUUUUUUUUUUUGAUUUUUAGAUAUAUUCGUUCUGAUUUUGUGUUGUACAAAGUGUCAAAGUCUUAUGUGUGGAUGUGAUGAUUAUUUCCCCAGAUGAUCGAAUCUGAAAUAACUGAGCGCUCAAUUCAUGUUUCUCCUUCUGGAGAAAUUCAAGCCAGAAAUCUGAUCCAUCUUCAAAAAUGUGUUUUGUUUAAUUUUAAAUAUUUGAUAUUUAGUAUGUGUUUUGAUAAUCAGAGAGUGGAAAUGAUGAUUAUUUCCCCAGAUGAUCGAAAUUGAUUAUACUGAGCGCAUUUAAUUAUAUUCUCUAUUACGUUAUAGAGAAUCCAAGCCAGAAAUCUGAUCCUGUCUCUGUUUUUAUUGAUAAAAAUAUAAGUUCCUCUGUUGAUGAUUCAAAUAAAAACUUUCGUUCUUCCGAGGAUGAUAUCCGUCUAUGCGGAAACGAUUAUUGGAGACCUGAACUGAAGAGGC